rnacentral:rRNA from 1 species
UGGAUUCCACCGGAUGGGGGAGAGGUCAAACUGAAUGUUGACGGGGCUGUAGCAAAAUCAUCAAAUACAGGUGCGGUUGGAGUUGUAUGCCGAAGUGAGACUGGUCUUUUCAUCGGAGCAUCGGUGGAAGUUUUUCAUGGAAUAACGGAACCAGCAACAUUGGAGGUAUAUGCAUGCAGGGAGGCCCUCGCACUAGCCGAGGACUUGGUCGUUCAUAAAAUGUGA